GGCUGGAGAGGGUGGAGGCUGGCUGGGGUUCACUGUGUGUGUGCCGAUUAUAGCACACUCCAUAGCCGGCUCCUGAGCGAGCAGACCCAGCUGAAGGAUGGUGUGGACAUGCUGAGGCGGGAGAAUGGACAGUUGUUGCGGGAGCAUAACGUGACGUGGCUCCAUGAGGAGGACCAGAAGGAGAUUGGUGCCCUCCGGGCCCAACAGCAGCAGAAAGCAGGAACAAAACCCAGCACCAAAGCAACACCAGGGUGGCUGAGAGAGGGACAGGGCAGGGCACCGCAACAUGGAGCCGUUCAAGUAAACAUAAGCAACCAGUACUUAGAAAAGGCUUGUAAACGUGUGAUCUGAAAGCUUGUCUUUCAGCAUCUCUGAUCAGCUGGCUAAAGAAAGGGUGGUGUCCAACCCGUC